rnacentral:lncRNA from 1 species
GUGCCCCUCAACUAAUGGAAAUCUGGGCCUUGCCACAACUACCAUGCCUUACCCUUAAAGAGGAUGCACCCCAAAAAGCAAGUACAGAAACUUCCCCUUCCCUGAAGAAUUCAUACUCUAAAUCUCAAAGGACAUAACACAUGAAGGUCAGACAGUCUGGUGUCUGCAGCCACAGUUGGAUCCUCUCAGCCAGAGGUGACUUUAGCAGGUUGCAGAGCCUAAGACAAAU